rnacentral:ribozyme from 1 species
CAUUCUUGGAAGAUGUUCGGUUUUUUUUUUUUUUUUUUUUUAAUUUUUACCUUUGCUGCCAUCAUCACCUCCACUUUUCAUUCUCAAUGGAGGAGACUCCUCAUU